rnacentral:rRNA from 1 species
CACGUAGGGCGCAAGCGUUGUCCGGAAUUAUUGGGCGUAAAGAGCUCGUAGGCGGUCUGUUGCGUCUGCUGUGAAAACUCGGGGCUUAACCCCGAGCCUGCAGUGGAUACGGGCAGACUAGAGGUAGGUAGGGGAGAAUGGAAUUCCCGGUGUAGCGGUGAAAAUGCGCAGAUAUCGGGAGGAACACCGGUGGCGAAGGCGGUCUCUGGGCCUUACUUGACGCUGAGGAGCGAAAGCGUGGGGAGCGAAC